GCUCAUCCGUUUUGUGCAGAAGGGGCUAUCGCUCUACAAGGACCAAUUUCUUGCUGCUUUGCCAGCACCUUGUCGAGCAAGUGCUGACUUCAGUCAGCCUGUUUUCAUAGCCACUGCAUUCUACCUGUGUGCAAAAAGACACAAGCUUAAAGUAGACAAGAUUAAACUUAUUGAGCUCUGUGACACAUCAGAAUCUGAAUUUACUAGUGUAAGACAUGCUCCUGUUAGCAGUUUCUUUAUAUCUACUUUAUAGCAUUUUUUUUUAUUGGACUUCCGAAUCAUGGUUGCAAGUUUCAACCUCUAUGAAGGGCCUAUGCUUUGAUGUUUUUGGUAUUACAAAGGAAAAGUAAGACCCAAAAGCUGUGAAAGGGCGCACCAAGGUACAUGUUUUUAUUGACAUUUUACCAGGCCAAUCUCCAUGUUCUUCCACUGCACUUCCCACCUGUUCCUGUAAGCUCAUUUUCUUUACAAAUGAAUGGUUUGCAUACCUUUGAGAUAGGUUUCUAAUUUUUGGAUUGGUAAUUAGAACUAUUAGAUGCAUUACCUAGCAAAAGGAAGUAUGAGGAUGAUGGUGAUGUAUAGUGAGAUCCUUGAUUGUUUGAAGAAAUGCUUUAACCAAAUCAUAUUUGAAAUCUUCAACACUCCUGCUAUGUAUGUUGCCAUCUAGGUUGUUCUCUUCCUUUAUGCCAGUGGUUGCACGACUGGUAAGCAAGACUACUAGUUCUUAUUUUGGUUUCUCUGGGCUACAUUCUCUUGAUUACUUAAACAACAACAAUG